UUAAAUAGCUUUAACAUUUCACUUUUUUCUCUUUUAUUAUUAUAUUCACUGUCAGGCACAGCUCCUUCUGUGAUCAAGAGAGAGAAAAGAGGAUCUGAGAGGUGCACACAGUGCAUGACAUUAAUCAUCUUUUGGAAGUGUCUUUGAGGUCAGUAACCAUGAAGUCUGUAAUUAACACCUCCUCUCCUUCAGUAGCAUGGGACUCUGCUGACUUCUUUAAUCAAAAGCUGUAGACAUUCUGGUGAGAAAAGAACUCUUCUUAAUUGAGUAAGGGGCUGCAGAGACAACCCUGUCAUGCACAUGGUGCAACAGCUCUGGGUGCUUCACUUCAACCCAUUCCCAGUG